rnacentral:lncRNA from 1 species
GGAGCCCUGAAGACAUCCCCGUGGACAAGUUUCCAUCCUGUUUCUUCUUGCGCUUCUUCCUGGGUCUCGAGUUCAUUAUACUUGGAGAUAUCACGGUAGAGUGUUCUUAGCAUAAUCAUCGCUACUAUACACGAAAGGAAGAGGACAUUAACUAAUGAUUUGACAAUUGAAAACCAAUGGAUUUGGUCGUCACUCAUCCGUAGAUAAGCAUCCCAUCUAGAAGCCCACUUCACAUCACUCUCCUAAACAGGUAGACAUGAAAAGAAGUAUCCUAUGAGAUGACUAGUUCCUCACAAAUGACAAAGUAUGUUCAACACCAUUACAUCAGAAAUAUUAGGGCAAAAGACAUACGAUAGUAGUUCAUGACAAAAAUAAAUGAUGCUAUAAUAAGCAAACAGUAGAUAGUAAAUUAUGAGUUAUAAUUCUCCUAUGAGAAAAUACCAAGUAAAAUUUUAAAUUAAUGAGCUCACCUGGAAUUCAACAUCAUAGGUAAAUACGAUUUCUUGCUUUUCGGCAACCUCUUGAGGAGAGUUAGAAUUCAAAACAGAAUGUUUCGAAUGGGGGUCACAGGUAGUUAAACGAGUCUUUGGAUCAUUCCAUUUCCCUUCAUAUUCAUGUUUAACACUGGACAUUCAACAGUCAAACAAACCGUAUGACCAACUGAUAAUUUAGAAACAAGAUUCAGCAAGAAGGAAUCAUGCAGGAGAAAAGGAACGCCCUGAAAAAAACUGACCUAAAUGGUUUAACCUCAAAUCCCACAAUUCUUGACGUUCCAGUUUGCAGAUCUUUAUGGUACUUCACAGUAAAUGCCAGAUGGUUGUGGAUGAAGUAUUUCUCUUCUUUGCUCUGAGCACAAUAACAUAGUGUAAGAACGACAAAAACAUAAGCAUCUCCAAAUAAGAAAGGUAUUUGGUGCCAACAAAUAAUGGACAUACCCCAGCAUAAUGACCUUUGAGCCCAACAUGGAACCCAAGCCGAUAAACAGUACGAGCUUUUUGAUAUAGCCUUUGAAUGGGAACAACUAGAGGUAGAUUAUCAAGUAUCCUGUCAUAGAAAAAAAAGUCUUAAUAAGAUAUGCGACUUUGUUUUAGUUCCUCAAAUAUACUAGGAUAAAUCAUUUAAAGUGUCAGAAAAAAUUAAAUACAUGUUCACUCGAUACUCGUCAUCUAUUUUCUCCUUAAACUCCUUUACAAUUUUGGCAUUAGGUGUUAUCCGGCAGACAAUGUUGCACAUCUGAGGCUCCCGCAUUCUAAACUGCACAAGUCCGAUUGUAAGUUUACGAACAUAGGAGAAACAAGUAGGCUUAGAGUUGUACAAGUGCAGUAACACUAACCACAUAGGGGGAGUUCUUGAUCCGGUCACCAUGGAGCACUUCCCCAAGAUUCUCUAUACUGUCGAUGAUUCUCUCAGGCUGGCAGUAAGGGAGAGAGUAAUAGGAGUAAGGAAGCUGAGUCUUUGUAGAAGUCACCGUGUUCACUUUAACCUUCAAACGAUCUCCCUGCAAUAAUUCAAAUUCCGCGAGGCAAAGCACUUUGCUUCUCAGUCAAGUGAAGUAAAACAAUGAUGGAAUUUCAAAUCUAAUUUACAAGAAGUAAUUCAAAUUCCACAGACAGCAUUUGUAAUCCAGUGAAACUAAAUGACAAUCUUCUUAGAGUACUUGCUUAGGAGUUAGGGCAUAUACAGAUCGAUGUCGGACCAACCAAGAACAGAUGCGCCGGGAAUUACUCUACGCAUCAAAGUAUUAAUAAAAAACAGCCUGAGCAAAUCAAAGAAAUAUGCAGAGCAAAAGAACAUAUAUCAAAACCUACAAAUCUCAAGAUUUGAACUAUGACAGAGGUCAACUAAACCUAAUUCGACGAUCAUUUCAAUAUCAAAGUAGCAGCCAAUCGAAUUUACGAUAACCUACUCUCCAAUCCUUCUAUCUUCCUCCAUUUUCUCGGCAACCAAACAGACCAAACCUAACACUAGGUCACAGUCACAGAUUCGAAAAGGAACACACGGAUCACUCAUUUAAUACACAAACACAUACAAUUUCGACAAAAAAUCGAAAUUAAAUGAAAAUACAGAUUAGAUUUGUCGGCGAUUGAGAGCUGACCUUCAAGAAGUCCUGCGGAGUGACGCCGGGGAGGUAGAAGGAGUGGGCGCCAUGGACUAAGAGUAAGAAGAUCGCAGAGAUCGCCAGGACUGCCUGGGAUUUACGAGCUGCCAUGGCCUCCGGCUGAGAGAGAGAAGAGGAGGAGUGUGUAUGUCUGGAGAGGAGCCGAAGGAGGAGUUAGUUUGUUGGUUGGUGUUUAACAGUUGGAUUCAUAUAUACUAAAGCCGAAGGAGGAGUUAGUUUCAACCUGACCCAACCACAAUGGCGAUUCUCAUUGGAGGAGUUAGUUUCAACGAAGUAUUAAAUAUCCAUGAUAUCGGAAAUAUUGUUAAUCCAAAAAUAUAGAAAUUUCGAUAGAAAUAUCGGGAUAUUAUCGAUAUCGAUAAAAAUUGAAUAAAAACCACGGAAAUUGUAAGAAAAACUUGGAAAUUUUUAUUGAAACUUUGCAGGAUGUUUAUUUAGUCAAUUAUCUAUUAGUUUAUCAUAAAAAAUUGUAAGGAAAUGCAUUGCAUGAUAGAUAUAACUAAUUUAAGUUGAUUAUAUAGCGAGCUGGCAAGGUCUAAUACCUUGCAUGGUAAGAUACAUGAGUGACUUAGCAAGGUCUAAAAUAUCGAUGAUAUCGGUAGUUCAAAAACAUGUAAAUUUCGAUGAAAAUAUCGAAAUAUUAUGAAUAUUUUAGACCAUGAUUUCAACCUGCACCACAUAGACGAUGAAAAGAAAUCAACGUUCAACCCUUUCACACCCAGAUUAUAUAGUAAUUAGUGACCAAGUCAUCAAGGCAAAACUCCAUAUCAAUCGUACGUCUAUAAUUGCAUAUUAAUUUCCAGCUCCACGUUGAUUCGAUAAAGAUCCUCUGUCUGGUUUGAUGAAUCCCAAUUAUAAUAUGUCCUAGUCGUUUCAGCUGACUUUGGUUAGAAUGAAUAAUAUAUUUUAAUUUCUUUACAAUUACUUGGAAAUUUCCAAUUAUAUCUUACGUUAAUAGAAAGAUAAUUAUAAAUAGGAAAUUAAUUCUUUAAUUUUCUUUUGUCACCAAAGAAAAUUAAGAAAUGCGAAUUAGAAAUGCUAGUUUCAACAACUUCAUUUAAAAAUAUUCCGAAUAAUAUACAAUUAAUAUCACGCUAGAGUCUAGGACAAAUAAACCUACUUUGAUUAAUGUCACGUCAAGAACGGUCAAGAUGUGACAGGGGCACUUUUGUAAAUAUGAUAUAAAAACUGUGAAGCAAUCAUCUUCAACAUUGCAUCUUUCCGGGCACAUAUGAACAUAAAAAAUAAAUUGACGUUCUACACGAAAUCUUUCACACCCAGAUUAUAUAGUAAUUAGUGACUAAGUUAAGUGAAGGCAAAACUUCAAAUCAAUCGUACGUGUAGUAUUGCAUAUUAAUUUCCAACUCCACGUCGAUUCGAUAGAGACCCUCUGUCUGGUUUGAUGAAUUCCAAUUAAAAUAUUUCCUAGUUGUUUCAAUUGACUUUGCUUACCAAUCAGAAUAAAUAACAUAUUUUAAUUUCUUUACAAUUACUUUGAAGUUUCCAAUUAUUUCUUAGGUUAAUAGAAAGAUAAUUAGAAAUAGGAAAUUAAUUCUUUAAUUUUCUUUUGUCACCCAAGUAAAUUAAGAAAUGCGAAUUAGAAAUGCUAGUUUCAACUAUACAAUUAAUGUCUCGUUAGAGUCAAGGACAAAUAAACCUACUUUGAUUAAUGUCACGUCAACAAAACAGUCAAGACACGGCAGGGGCACUUUUGUAAAUAUGAUAGAUAUUUUGGGGCAGUUUUAUAAAUAAAAAACUUCUAUUGUGAGUUUUAAUUGUUAUGUUUGUGUUUUAAUCAUUAUGUAUGAUGAACACUAGUAUUUUGUUAUAUUGUGAGUUUGAAGUAUGUUUUUUAAUAUAUGUGAUAUUUAUUAGAUUUUAAUCGUCGUGUUCUAGCCGUGUCUUUAUUUUUUGAGUUUUGUCGUGUCGCUGAGUUCAUAGGAUUGUAUUUGACCUGUUGAAAAAUGGCCAUGAACGAUCUAGUAUCAUUAACAGCAGCUUUAGGGCGUGUUUGUUUGACCUUCUUAGGGGGGACUGGACUGGACUACACUAAUUGGUAUUGUAGUCUGAUGUUUGGUAGGGGCAAGGAUUAGGUUUAAUGGGAUUAGAUCCGACUCGCACGGAUUAAACCCCUCGCUAGGAGUUCUUAGCGAACCACCCCAAAAACGUCCGGAUUCGUAAGACCUCCUCCCUCACGUCGUCCUUCUCAUCCGAUUGCGCUAUUGCGAGAAAGAACCUCGGUCAUCCUAGGAGAGAGUGUCGUCGACGUCCUCCUCCCUCACGUCGUCCUCCUCAUCCUCAUCUCUGCGUCCUGCUCGCCGUCAACUGCAUCCUGGUCGCCCUCAUCUGCAUCCUGCUCCUCAUCUGUUCCUCUCGUCGUCCACUCCCUCGUCUUCACGUAACAGAUCUGCUCGCCCUCAUCUGCCUCCAGUUGUCUGGUAAGCUUCGAUUGUUCGAUUUUUUUCGUCGAUUUGAGUCGAUUUAGGUGGAUUUUUUUCAUCGAUUUGGGCGGAUUUGUUUUGGGUUUGAGCUUUAUUUGAUUCUGCAGUUGAACAAAUUUUAGGGUUUUGAUAUUUAGGUGAAAUUGAGAUUAGAAAUUGGGGUUUUCAUAAAGCUUGGAAUUUGGGGUUUGAAAUUGAGAUUAGAAAUUUGGAAUUUGGAGUUUGAAAUUUGGAAUUUGGGGUUUUCAUAAAGCAGUGUGUGUGUAUGUAAGUAUGCAGUAGAAAUUUGGAAUUUGGGGUUUGGAAUUUGGGGUUUUCAUAAAGCUUGGAAUUUGGGGUUUGAAAUUGAGAUUAGAAAUUUGGAAUUUGGGGUUUCAAAUUUGGAAUUUGGGGUUUUCAUAAAGCAGUGUGUGUGUGUAUGCAGUGUGUGUGCGUGUGUAUGUAUGUAUGCAGUGUGUGUGUGUGUGUGUAUGCGGUGUGUGUGUGUGUGUGUAUGUAUGCAGGGUGUGUGUGUAUGUAUGCAGGGUGUGUGUGAGUGUAUGUCAGUGUGUGAGAGUGUGUAUGUCCGUGUGAGUGCAGUGUGUGCAUCUGACCAGUGUGUGUGUGUGUGUAUGUAUGCCGUGUGUGUGUGUGUAUGUAUGCAGUGUGUGUGUGUGUGUGUGUGUGUGUAUGUAUGCAGUGUGUGUGUGUGUAUGUAUGCAGUGUGUGUGUGUGUGUAUGUAUGUAUGUAUGUGUGUGUGUGUGUGUGUGUGUAUGUAUGUAUGUAUGUAGGGUGUGUGUGAGUGUAUGUCCGUGUGUGAGAGUGUGUAUGUUCGUGUGAGUAUGUGUGUGAGUGUGUAUGCAGUGUGUGUGUGUAUGCAGUGUGUGCAUCUGACCAGUAUGUGUGCAGUGUGUGCAUCUGACCAGUGUGUGUGUGUGUAUGUAUGUCGUGUGUGUGUGUGUGUGUAUGUAUGCAAUGUGUGUGUGUGUGUUUAUGUAUGCAGUGUGUGUGUGUAUGUAUGUAUGCAGUGUGUGUGUGUGUAUGUAUGUAUGCAGUGUGUGUGUGUGCGGGUGUAUGUAUGCAGGGUGUGUGUGAGUGUAUGUCCGUGUGUGAGAGUGUGUAUGUCCGUGUGAGUAUGUGUGUGAGUGUGUAUGCAGUGUGUGAGUGUGUAUGCAGUGUGUGUGUGUAUGCAGUGUGUGUGUGUGUGUGUGUAGUAUGUGUAUGUGUGUGUGUGUAUGUAUGUAUGUAUGCAGGGUGUGUGUGAGUGUGUGUAUGUCCGUGUGUGAGAGUGUGUAUGUCCGUGUGAGUAUGUGUGUGAGUGUGUAUGUAGUGUGUGAGUGUGUAUGCAGUGUGUGUGUGUAUGCAGUGUGUGCAUCUGACCAGUAUGUGUGCAGUGUGUGCAUCUGACCAGUGUGUGUGUGUGUAUGUAUGUCGUGUAUGUGUGUCUGUAUGCAGUGUGUGUGUGUAUGUAUGCAGUGUGUGUGUGUGUGUAUGUAUGUAUGCAGUGUGUGUGUGUGUGUAUGUAUGUAUGUAUGCAGUGUGUGUGUAUGUAUGUAUGUAUGCAGGGUGUGUGUGAGUGUAUGUCCGUGUGUGAGAGUGUGUAUGUCCGUGUGAGUAUGUGUGUGAGUGUGUAUGCAGUGUGUGUGUGUGUAUAUGUGUGUGUGUAUGCAGUGUGUGUGUGUGUGAGUGUAUGUCCGUGUGUGAGUGUGAGUAUGUCCGUGUGUGUGUGUUAGUGUGAGUGUGAGUGUGAGUAUGUAUGUGUAUUUUGCACAUUUGUCCAUGAGUGUGUGUGUGUGUACUUGGUUUAUAACCAUGAUAUUACAAUGUGAAUGUUUUGUAUUGUGUGGGGUUGAUGCUGAAUUACAAUUUUUUGUGGUUGUUGGUUGCAGAGAAGAGGAGCAUAAACGGAAGGCUAAGGCUAAGGCUACUGCAUUACAGGUGUCCUUUAAUUUCCCUCUUCACAUGCAAUGCCUAGCAAUGAUAGCAAUCCUCAUACUAGUGUUCUUAGACACAUGUUUAUAGAUGUAUAAGAGUAGAACAUUUUGAAUAUGAUGCCUCGGGUUAAUGAUAACUUUUUUUUUUCAACGCCACCUGUAUAUUUGUUGCUCGGGUUAAUGAUAACUUUUUUUUUUUCAACGCCACCUGUAUAUUUGUUGCCUCGGGUUAAUGAUAACUUUUUUCUUUUCAACGCCACCUGUAUAUUUGUUGCCUCGGGUUAAUGAUAACUUUUUUUUUUCCAACACCACCCGUAUAUUUGAUGCCUCGGAUUGUGACUUCGCUAAUUACUUUGAUCUAGUUCAUUUCGUAUCAUAAUCACUUCAUUUCCAUCACCCUUAAUAACAGUAAAUAUUACAUAUAUAAUGUCCUUAAUUUGUUUUUUGUUUUUUUUUUGUUUGGAUAGAUAUGGAUCGAAUGAAGCUUUUAUUGAUCUUAUUGUUAGAGAUGUCUUAUUUGGAGACAAUUUGCAUUUGUACGAUUCUUGUGUUGAUGAUGCUACGUGGCAAACAGAGACAUGUUGAACGACCCACAUUGACUAACCGUUCACUUAUUAGACGAGAGAUUAGUUUGUGUUAUCUGAAUGGUAUAAUAGGGAAUACUGAUAUUGAAUGUGUCAACGAAUUGAGAAUGGAUAGAAGGACUUUUGGCAUAUUAUGUGACUUACUUCGUCAAGAUGGGAGGGUAAAAACUGAUGGUUUGGUGUCUGUAGAGGAGCAGGUGUGUAUGACUUUACAAAUAUUAGCACAUCAUACUAAGAAUCGUAGUGUUGGCGGUAGAUUUUAUAGGUCGGGAGAGACUAUAAGUAGGUAUUUCAAUAUCGUAUUGCAAGGAAUUUUGCGAUUACAAGGUAUCCUACUAAAAGUCCCUCAGCCUGUGCCUAUUGAUUCUACAGAUCCUAGGUGGCGAUGUUUUAAGGUAUGAUGAGAAUUUUUUUUCAUUUUCCCUAAGCUUUAACUCUUCAUUCCCUUUGUAUAAAUUAACAAAAACUUUUUUUUUUUUUUUUUUUUUAAGAAUUGCUUGGGAGCAUUGGAUGGAACACACAUUGAUGUGCAUGUACCUGAAAUUGACAAACCAAGAUACCGAACAAGAAAGGGUCGAGUCGCAACUAAUGUGUUAGGUGUGUGUUCAGGAGAUAUGUAGUUCAUAUAUGUGUUUCCGGGGUGGGAGGGUUCCGCAUCAGACUCUAGAGUGCUACAUGAUGCAAUUACUAGGCCUAAUGGUUUUAAGGUACCAGCGGGUAAGACUAUUACUUAGUCUCAACUUUGUAAGUUAGGUCUAGUUCUGUUUGUCAACUACAAAACACUAAUAAGGUCUGUUUUUUUUUUUCAUUAGGUUAUUAUUACCUUGUAGAUGGUGGUUAUACAAAUGGUGAAGGAUUCCUUGCACCCUAUAGAGGAAUACCUUAUCAUUUAUCUGAAUGGGAGGGACGAACACCUUCUAAUAAGGAAGAAUAUUUUAACAUGAAGCAUUCUAAGGCAAGGAAUGUAAUUGAAUGCUGUUUUGGCUUGCUAAAAGGAAGGUGGUCGAUACUAAGGAGUCCAUCUUUCUAUCCGAUAAGGACACAAGGUCGAAUAAUUACCGCUUGUUGUCUACUACACAAUCUUAUUAGGCAAGAGAUGUCUGUAGAUCCAAUGGAGAAUUUGCCAAUAAUAGAAGAUGGACAAAAUACAAAAGAAGGUGAAUAUGUUGGUAGUGUUCAAACAUCUGACCAGUGGACUGCAAAGAGGAAUGACAUGGCUCAGGAAAUGUAUAACGAGUGGAGAGCAAUUAGGAACUAGCAACCGAACUAGCUAUAUGUGUUAAUGAUAACAUUUUAUUUUAGUAUUCCUUUUUAUCAUGCAUUUGUUAGAUAUUAGCACAAUGAUUGGAUGGUAUGCAAAUUAAUUGGAUAUUAUGCAAGUUGAUUGGAUAUUAUGCAAGUUGAUUGGAUAUUAUGCAAAUUGAUUAUUUGUAUGGUAUUUUCCUUCAUUAAAAUAUUUUUUGUUUAGGUAUGGAUAACGAAAAUAUUUUGAAUGCUACUCAAGAGCCAAAAGGAAGAAGGCGUAAAUGGGAAGCAUUUGAGGAAGAAGUAUUACUAGGAGUUCUUGAGGAUUUUGUUGCUCGGAAGCAACGGUGUGACACCGGUGCUUUCAAACAAGGUACUUUGGUUGAAAUAGCAAAAGCUGUCAAUGUUUUAUGUCCUCAUUCAAAUAUAAAGGCAAAUCCACAUAUUGAGUUCAAGUUGAAGAAAUGGAAAAAAACAUAUAGUAUGGUCGUUGACAUGAUAAACACAAGUGGAUUUGCAUGGAAUGAUGUCAAAAAGUGCGUUGAAGUUGAUAGUGAUGACUCAUGGCAAACUUAUGUGCAGGUUCAUAUCCUAUUUUAUUUAUACAUUAGUUAUAUUAUUGCUGCUAUAUUUGUCACGCAUGCUAAAUUUUAGUUUUGCUAUGUUGAUAUAAUCUUAGAGAAAUAAAGAAGCCGAUGGAUGGAGAAUCAAACCUUUUCCACUGUUUGAUAGAUUUGCAUAUAUAUUUGGAAAAGAUCGGGUUACGGGUAAUGUAGCCGAAACCCCUGCUCAAAUGGUGGAGGAACAAAGUCAUGAUCAUGUUGGUGAAAGUGAUAUUGGAGGUGAAAAUUUUGUUUCUUCAAUGAACCAACAAAGCCAACAAAGCACCCCAUCUGAAAAUAGCCAAAGAAAGAUGAAAAGAGCUGUGGGAAGUUCAAGUGAUGGAACCGAGGCAAUUAUCAGUGGACUGAAAGAUUUUUAUGUUGAAAGUGGGAAGAGGAUGCAAAUGGUAACUGAAGCUUUAGUUCAAGGUACUGCAGAUCAUACUGACAUAGCUAAUGAACUUGAAGCAAUGGGUCUCUCUCCUAUGGAUCAAAUUGAUGCAUUGUCUCUUAUUUUGGAUAAACCAAAAAAUGUGGGAGUGUUCAGGGCAAUCAAACCGGAACUUAAGAAAGUGUUCGUCCAAAGGUUUUUAAGCGAUAACGCAAGCGGAUGAGGAUUUUGGCUAAUGUUAACAUGGAUGUAUUUUAUUAAUGUUAACAUGGAUGUAUUUUAUUAAUCAUAAAAUCUUAUGUUAUGGCUUAUAACUUAGUUUUGCACUAGUAUUUUGACUUAUGUUAACUAGCCAUUUUGUAAAUUAUGGAGAUCUAUUUUGGCUAAUGUUAACUAAUGUUAACUAGGAUUUUCUAAAUUAUGGAGAUCUUCUUAUGUACUUGUAUUUGUUGAAGUUGCAUGUAUUGGGCACUAUUAUUUUUCUUCUGUUGGGUGAUAGAGUUUAAAUCAAGCUACAUUUGCAAAUUAAACCCAAUUCUAUUAGCAGGUAAUAGAAACAAAACAAUUGUCAAUUUUUUUUAAGAUUCAUAAUAUACAUGGCAAAAAUAUGCUCCAAUUAACCCAUAUCAUGAGAUUUGUAGCAUUACUCUAUUACACAAUGGCAAAAAUUUGUAGUCCUAGUCUAAGCAAACACAAAUCUGGUGAACAGUACUGUUUUUCUUAUCCUGCUUCUUAGUCCGACAUUACACCAAACGCUUCACUAAGUUAGUCCAGCUUAGUCCAGUCUAAGCCAGUCCAGUUUAGUCCCGGCAGCUAGUCUAGUCCGAGACAGUCCGGCGCAAUAAACGCACCCUUAAGGAAAUACUAGGAAUUACUUUCCAAUGCCUGCAAGUUCUCAUGGCAUCGGUGAAUAUGAUCAAAAUUUCACUUGAAAUUUCAGUAGGGGGAAGUUGAUGGUCAAGAUCAUGCUUUUUGCUUCGAUGGAAUUCCUAAAACCAUAGAUUCCGAUUAAGCAACAUCUCUAAGGCAUUGUCUUAGAAUUAAAUUGUCUAAAAAACAACUAAAUUAUGUAGAUUAAAGUCAAACACCAAACCUCAUGAAAAACUUUUGGUGUCCUGAUGACAUUUGAAGGUCCUGCAAAAAGCUUCUGCAACUAAGAUAAGCAAAUCCUGCCUGUGGCUUGGAAAUUUGAUAUCGAAUUUCGUAUUGUAAGAAUAGUUACAUAUACUGGUGAAUUAGAAUAUCAAUCGAAUAUUGAUUAGUACGCAAUCUAUCGAACAACACUUGAAAAUGAAAACGGCUAUUCUGGCUCAAGGGCAAGAAUAUAAGGUUAGUAUCAAUCAAUAAAUUGGAACAACUUCAUAAGUAUAUUUUAGAUAUAUAAAUUUAAAGGAUCUAAUUCGAUAAAAUUUAAAAGUUAAUUUUGUUGGAAUCGAUAAUAACCAUGAUAAUAACACAGUUUUGCUUUCUUUCCAAGUCCAACAACAAUUCAUAAUUUCGUAUGUAUAGCUGCAAUAGAUCUAUGUCUGGAUGAUUAAGAAUUGAAGGGAAUUCGCGAGAAGUGGUAAAGUCAUUUUCAAUCAAGGAUAGUAGUUGUAUAGUAUUGUCCCAAUCCCAGCAAAUAAAGCUUUUCUAGUCCAAGAUCGGACAAUAAUAACACACUAGUCAAGCAGGUUAUGAUUUAACUUCAAUAAGUAAACUUCUGAUGAUACAAUUAUAUCAGUGAAAAAAUUAUGUAUCUUGCUUUCUCGAUCAUUAUCCGAAUUAAAUCACAUGAUCUACCAUUUAUGUGGUCUCCGUUAAUUUUAUUGAGUUUCAUUUUUACGAAUCUACUUUUUAAGCGAGCUACUUAACGCGUUACUAAACUUAAACUUGAAGUUUUUCUUCGAUUAAAAAAAAUCCAAUGCUAUUAGAAGUGCAGAUUUCAGUUGGAGGAGGAAAAGUAGGUAUUGACUGGGUAAAAGUUGUCAGACUCCAUAAAGCACGUUUCAUGUUCCAACUUUUAAGUUUUUGGGAUCAAAACAAAAGUCACUGAAACAUCCCAUGUGAAACUUAUACUCUAGUAGCAAGCAAAACUAGUACUCUAGUAGCAAGCAAAAGUAGCUCAUCCCCACAAUCCAAACUAUUUCUUCUUUUUUAUUUCAUUUCAGAUUUGCAGACUUAUUUCUUAAGAAACAUCAUUUAAUUUCUAUACUAGACCCAAAAGCAAUACGUGUAAAAAGAAGAACAAAACUUCCUUCCAGUAUUGUUCGUUUUAAUGAAAAAGGAAAAUUUUAUUAUAAAAAGUCACUUAUGCCACUAGUACUACGGUCUAGUGGUAUUUAUCUUCACUGAUAAGUGAGAGGUCUUAGGUUCAAAUCUCGUCAAAGGCGAAUUUGCACCAAUUUAUUGCUAGCCCAUUAUGAGGUUAAGUCCAACCCCUCCCCUUAGUGUAGAUAAUAUCGAUUAUUCAAAAAAAAAAAAGUCACUUAUGACACUAUUUAUAUGCAACACCUUUUUGUCAUUUUGAUUAAAACUCAAAGUUUUCAAACCAUUUUCAUUAGUUUUCUUAUAAAAAAAUCCCACAGCAACUAACACUAUCGCUGCUAGUAGAUAGUUUUGGAAGUGUGGUGCUAUCACUCACACCUCUUUUUAUUUUGUAUACAAUGCUCUCAAUUUUUUACCGUUAAAUUAAAUGCAUUGAAAAUAAUCAAAUGAUAAAAAUUAGCAAAAAGUGUAUGAAAAGUUAAAUAAGAUGGAUGGAUAGUACCACGCUUUUAAAAAAAAAAAUCAUAUCUUAACUUGUUUUACUUGAGCCCCAAAAAGAAGCCUGGCGUUUGAAUUCUGUUUCCCUCAAGACUUAAUCGUAUCUUAACUAAUCACUCCUUAAUAAAUAAAAAAAUUAAAAAAAAAAGAGAAGGAAUAUUUUAGAUGCGAUUCCUAAUCUUUAAUAUUAUUUGAUUAAAACCUUAAUGGUUUUUAAAGUUUGAUCAAAGUCCCUUGACUUUGUACACCUCAUUAUGUUACUAUUAAUAUUUAUAUUUUUAUAGUUUUGACAUUAAUUGUUUGAUAUUUUAUGAGAUUUAUAAUCCUAUAAAUUUAAAGUCUCUCAUUAUAAUACUAUUAGAAACUGUUACAAUAAAUAAAUUCAAACAUUUUGAUUGAAUAAAUGGAUAUAAACUAUGUAACAAUAAGAAAUAAUAAAUGACAAAAGAAUGUAUCUAUAGUGUUAAAAAAAUUGAUAUAUUUUACAAAAAAAUUAUACAUUUCACAUAUAACAAAGUGGUACAUUAAUACAGAAGAAUUAAUACAGAAGAAUGAGUACAUUAUGACCAUGGCUGAGUUGGUAGGCGGAGCUUUUCUCUCUUCUUUCCUCUCUGUUUUGUUCGACCGGAUAGCUUCCCGUCCCGUCCUCGAUUUCAUCUCUGGGAAGAAAAACGAGCUGCUCAUGAGAGAGUUGAAGCUCAAGUUGCUCACCGCUGACAAGCUGGUUGACGAUGCCGAGGAGAAGCAGAUGACAAGCCCGACCGUGAGGAAGUGGCUCGACGAUCUCAAAGAAGCUAUCUACUGUGUAGGAGAGUUGCUGGACGAGAUCAAAGCUGAAGCUCUUCGACGCCAGCUGGAAGGUGAGGAUGACCAUUCUCCUGCAGCUAGCAGCAGCACAAGCGGGAUCUCGAGAUCAGAGUCCAACCCUUCUUCUCCGUCCGAUGAAUUUCAGAUUCCAACCGACUUCCCGAUCCCUCCCAUGCCCACCAUGGGAAGCACUCCUAUCUUAGGGCCAGUCGGAUCAUUCAAACGUAAUGCUUCAAGGAUCCUUUUUUUCUCCUUUUUCCUUCCGAAGACGGCAGACUCAUCGAUCCGCGAAGUAGUUUGACGAGUUCUUUCUUGUGGCCUAUGUUGAACUCCUUCUUUCAGACCAUGAACGUCUCUUUCAUUGAGAAUGAGGUUUAACACCUCAGAAUGUUUGAUAUCUUCGGUUCAAGAGAGUUGUGAAAUUCAUCGGACGGAGAGGAAGGGUUGGACUCUGAUGAAUUUCACAACUCUCUUGAACCGAAGAUAUCAAACAUUCUGGGGGUAUUAAACCUCAUUCCCAAUGAAAGAGAUGUUCAUGGUCUGAAAGAAGGAGUUCAACAUAGGCCACAAGAAAGAACUCGUCAAACUACUUCUCGGGUCGAUGAGUCUGCCGUCUUCGGAAGGGAAAAUGACCAAAAAAAGGAGCCUUGAAGCAUUACGUUUGAAUGAUCCGACUGGUCCUAAGAUAGGAGUGCUUCCCAUCGUGGGCAUGGGAGGGAUCGGGAAGUCCACCCUUGCCCAACUUGUGUACAAAGAUGUCAAGGGUGACUUUGAUGUCCAAGCAUGGGUUUUUGUCGGAGUAGAAAUUGAUAUUCUUCAAAUAGCACAAACGAUACAUGGGAAGAUCACAAAAAACCCUUGCACGAUCACAGAUCUGGAUCUGCUUUCUGAAGAAUUGGAGGAGGUUUUGACAGGAAAAAAGUUCCUCUUCGUUCUUGAUGAUGUCUGGAGUGAGGAUUAUCUUCUCUGGAAUAACUUGAUGACUCACUUCAAUAGCUGCGGAGGGAAUAUCCGAGGACGAUUCUUGGUUGUUAUUUGCAAAGCAUGCCUUCACGGAAGACAGUGUUAUUACUGCCCAUCCGUAUCUUGAAGUCAUUGGAAGGAAAAUUGUUAACAAGUGUCAAGGCCUUCCUUUAGCUAUAAAAUCAUUAGGGGGCCUGUUACACUCUGUUUUGAAUCGAAGGGAAUGGGAAAAGAUAUGGAAGAGCGACUUAUGGGAGUUGCCAAAUUAUGAGGUUUUGCCAGCUCUACGGUUAAGUUACCAAUAUCUACCUCCGCAUCUCAAACGUUGUUUUGCUUAUUGUGCAAUAUUUCCUAAAGGUUACAACUUUCAACGUUCAACGUUAAUUUCAUGGUGGAUGGCUGAAGACCUCUUACACCCCACGGGAAGGAGGCAAUGGAAGAUGUUGGAAGUGAUCACUUUGAUAUUCUAGUAUCAGGGUCUUUCUUUCAACAUUCAUUAGACGAGUUGGGUAUGUUAUGUUUCACCAUGAUUUAGCAAAGUUUGUAGCUGGAGAAUUUUGUUUAAGAUUGGAGGAAAAUCAGCCGCCCAACAAAAAUUUAUGCAAAACUCGUCACUUUGCAUUCAUGGAAUUUGGAGGUCAUGACAUUCAGAAAUUUGAGGCGCUGGAUGAGGCUAAGCACUUGCACACCUUUCUACAACUUGAAGGAGGCUACAAAGACUGCAAUAAGUUGGUAUUGAACUACACACUUGUUGAUUUAUUACCAAAUCUACCAUGUUUAAGAGUGAUCAAGUUAUCAUGUUGUGAUAUCGUUGAGUUGCCUAGCUCAAUUGGCAACUUAAAACACUUAAGGCAUUUGGACGUGUCGUACACUAAAAUAAGAGAAUUACCUGCGACGGUGUGCACCUUGUACAAUUUACACACCUUGUUAUUGUAUUUUUGUCUUGAGCUGAUUCAACUACCAACCAAUUUGGGAAGGCUAAUCAACUUGCGCCAUCUCAACAUCCGAGAAACAGAGAUCAAAGAGAUGCCUGCAGGGAUGUGUAAAUUGAAAAAUCUCCAAACAUUAAGCGAUUUUGUGUUGGACAAACAAACAGCUCAAAGGAUUGGAGAGUUAAAAGAGCUUCAGCAUUUGCGCAGAAGCCUUAAAAUCUCAGGAGUUGGUAACGUUAAGGGGAAUGCUUUGGAGGCAGAUAUCAUGAGCAACAAGGAGAAUCUGAACCUACUUUUCUUGAUAUGGGGAAGAGCUUAUGAUGCUAGUAAUCAUGAUCCAGAAAAUGACAGAGAAGUGCUCAACAAGCUCCAACCUUAAACAACUUAUAAUUAGGUCUUACGGGGGUUUAACAUUUCCAGGUUGGUUAGGAGAUCCGUAUUUCUCUAAACUAUCUCGUAUUGCACUUGGUGAUUGCAAGCAUUGCUGCUUAUUGCCACCACUUGGGCAACUACCCUCCCUCAAAGAGCUUCAUGUUCUAGGGAUGAAUAACGUGGUUGAGAUUGGUAGCGAGUUUUACGGUAACGAUACUUGUGGGAGUGCUCCAUUUAGAUCUCUACAAGAAUUGCACUUGGAAGAUAUGUUGGAGUGGGAAAAGUGGUCCUAUUACGAUGGAAGCAGAGGCAACACCACAAUAAUGUUUCCUAAUCUUCGUGAGCUUGAAUUGAGAAAUUGUCCCAAGCUGACUGAGAUAUUACCGUUGGAGAAGCUGCAAAGUCUUGAAAGUGUAAAAUUGAAUGGUCUGGAGUCCUUUAGUGGUUCACUUGCACAUGUGGAAUCUAAAUGCCCUAAAUUCCUUUCCCUCGUUCACUUGGAAAUGGUCGACUGCCCAAAUUUUGUAUGUUUUCCAGAUGGAGGGAUGGAUGCGCCCAAAUUGGAGGAGCUGCUUAUCUAUCGAUGCAAGAAAUUGAGGUCGUUGCCAGAACAAAUGCAUACCUUUCUACCGUCUCUUCAGAAAUUGAUGGUAAUUGGCUGUCCAGAAGUGGAAUCAUUUCCUCAAGGAGGGCUGGCGUCAAAUAUACAAGACCUUUUUUUUAGUGUUGUAGAAAACUCGCUGCAAACCGCUCACUGUGGGGUUUAACAAGACUCAACUCUCUUAGAAUGUUGGAAAUCAGUUUCAGUGAAGAAGGUGGAGAAGAAAUGGGAUGUUCGUUUCCGGAAGAGGGUUUGCUGCCCGCCACUCUCACUAGUCUCUCCAUCCGCUUUCAUCCAAAUCUUACAACCAUCCAAGGCAAGGUUUUGAGACAACUCACCUCUCUUGAAUACCUCAGAAUAGAAGGAUGCCCUGAGCUCCAGGGCUUUACAGAAGUAGCGCCCAAAUCUCUGAAAAGGUUGGCUAUUUUGGAGUGCCAUAAUAUCGGGUGCUUGCCAGGAGAAUGGCUUCCCACAUCUCUUUCUCAUCUGCUUAUCAAAGAGUGUCCGCUGUUAAAAGAACGAUUCCGAAGAGAGACAGGGGAAGAUUGGCCCAAGAUUUCUCACAUCCCCCGUAUAAAUAUAGAAUAGAUGUUCCUGAAAUUGGUACUUGCCGAAUUCUCUCUCAAGUGUGUGCGUGCCUAUAUGUAAUAUAUGUACGAAACACUUUAGUUGGGUACUUUUUCUGAUGUUUUUUUUUUCCUUGCGCGUUUGAUUUGUGCUUCUAGUCCAGGCUCCAGCAGCAUAUGCUCUUGUUGUUUCGUGUUGAAUUUGUCACAAACUCUUCCUAAUGCAACAACAAAAAUGGAGCUGGUAUAGCCUUUGCUGUUUUGCGGUAAAGUAGUACUACGUACGUAUUCGCAAGAUGAUUACUAGGCUAAAACAAGAGCAAAUUUGGAUAAAAAAUGCUAUUUCUACCAUCUAGUUGUACUAUCAUUCGUGCCGUCUCUCUAAUAGAGAAGAGACUCGCAUGUGUUGGUGGACCCUCCUCUAUUAGAUUUCAUGAUUCACUAACGAAAGCUCGAAGCACCCUAUUUUCAUCCUCAGCUCGUCAAAGCAACCUAUUUUCAUCCUCAGCUCGUCACACCUUUUUCAAGGGGUUUGCUUCUGAAACUCCUAAGCAGGUUCAUAGAGGCGUAACAUGUGCCCAUCAAUACAUCGUAUGGCAGCAACCUGUUACACAAUAGUCUUAUCGUAAUCUUUGCAACCAGCAUGGUGAUGAUAUACAAAUAAAUUAUCGAAAUUGUUUCGUUUAAAAAUUCGGUGAACACGUAGCCAUGGACUUCACAUUGCCAUGGACUCACUCGUUUGACACGGUGAUCAAAGCCAAGGCUACUGUUGAUAGAGUGCCUAAUUGCAGGAACAAGGUUACCUGUGCUGACAUUUUGGCCUUGGCCACAAGGGAUGUUGUGAAAUCCCUUUCCCAGCAUUCAGGUCCAUCGGAAUGUGUCCGUGCUAGACUAAAUGCAAGGACUGUCCUUGUGUAAAUUUUGAGCGAACGAAUGAUAUGGCACGAAAGUCCAUGUCCAAGACUCCAAACGAUCGUGAUUUGGAGUUAAAGCAGAUUCCCUUAUUAGUAAAACCCAUGAACAAGUCAGAUUAUUUUACAGACAUGAGAAAACCCAAGAGAAAAAGUUGCCACCUUUUCACACAACCAAAAAUUUCAGGGGAAAAUAAAACACAUACUAAUAUUGGAUCCUUCCUUAUUUCUUGUUUUUAGUCUCCUACUCUGUACAGUAAUAAUGCAAAAGCAUAUGCAACAGCCUUCACAUUGAAAAGCCGAUAUGUGAGUAAAAACAACCAAACCGUAAACUUCAUGUUAUUUGGCUACAAAUGAGGAGAAUCCUCUGGCCAAAUUUAACAUCAAAAGUAAACUAGUUGCAACCUAAUCUAAAGACACAAGGUUAUUGCUAAGCGCUUCAUCAUCAUCGUCAUUAAUUUUUGCUACUCGCUCGUCACUUGAAGGUACAAACUUAAGUCUCUCUGUGUGUUUCCCUUUUGAAAAGCUCAUCAAACUGUAUAAUGUUGUUGAAUUGUAUCGAUGUCAAGUCCUUUCAGCUUCACAACUGACUCAACAUGACCCUUCAGCGUAUGCAACUCCCGAAGCCUGCAACCAAAACGAAAAGCUCUUUUAGAACUCAAUUCUCACGUGGAACAAGUCCAACCAGCAAAGCAAAACAAUGCAAGAUGAAGCAUUUUCCAGGAAACAAGAAACAGAACCGGCAGACAUCAUUACGGAGACAAGCCUGAUUCUAAAUCUAUGUAUGAGUGCAAACGGUCCUUACCUUGCAACCUCAGCCCUCCGCUUGGCUUGUUCUGCAAUCUCAGAAAGCUCCCUGUAGCUGUUCUUCUCAUAGAAAAGGUUGUUCAUUUCAGGUGGCUGAAGGCCGUGAAGGGUCCUCUGUGCUGCAGCCCACUGUGCUUCUCUCUCCUCUUUCCCAUAAUCUUUCUUUGUAGUGAAGGCAGUCUGGUGGGAAGACACAAUAAGGUAAAUUGUGGCAAGAAACAUGAAUCUAACUUAUAUUGUUGGGUAGCGCGGAAUGCAACAUACCUUGUUCUCCAAAAGAUUAUUCCACGCCUUUCCGCUUUGAAUGUAUCGGAUUGCGAAUUUAAGAAAGUCACGAGGGACAUAUGUCACUAUACUGUAAAGCCACAUGACACCAGCCCACCCCUAGCCAGCUCCCUUUAUCCGUGCAAAACCCCAGUUUGCAUAGACUGCCAUUUUGCGGAAUGAGUUAUUUAAAAAAAAAAAAAAAAAAAAAAAAAAAGGAAAAUUCUUUUGUCAUACACAUACGAGAGCAACCAAGUAAAAUAUCACACAGGUUUUUAAGCUUGCUAACGGAGUAAAAUUCUUACUUUCAAAAUGUACAAAUUUCUAGAUUAAUUGUCUUAACAUUAUUGGAAAUUACUACAACUUUUAAAACCUUAAGCAUCCAGUUGAGCAAUUAGGUAAAAUUAUAAAGGUAAUCAGUUUGCUUACCAAUUGAGCAAUCAUGAAAGCUCCAAAUAAGAGAAGUCCAGGGCGUUCAACAAAAGACCAGCUACGAGACCUUGUGAUGAAAAUAAGGGCUUGGCUCACAAUACUCACUUGUAAGUACAACACCGCCAUCGCUCAGGCCUAUCCCUCAAAGAUCUCACAUGAAACUUGUCCUGCAUUAUGAAAAUAAUUAAAUAAAAUCAGAAGAAUGAACUUAUUUGCCCAAAUAACUGUGACCUAAAUAGCUUAUAUAUUAAUGGAAAACAAAGAACUGUAUAUUCCCACCGAGAAGAAGUCGGUAUCAUUCAUAAGCCAGAAGAAGACUACUGUCAUUAGUGCCAAGUAACCUCCAAGGACAAUGCCAGUAGCAAAGAUCUCCCUCAAUUUCCAGCUGUCUGGUUGUGGAGAUGGCUUCACUCGAUCCUUUGAUAUUGUCAUGAUAGUUCCUAGCAGAAUCGUAAAAAAAACAAAGUCAGACUCAUUUCUCAUUGAGGAUUGUCCGAUGGUUUCCAAUGCAGGAUCUUAUCAUUGAGGAUUGUCCGAUAGUUUCAGAGCGCUUUGAACAAGGCAGUGGAGACGAGUGGCCCAAGAUUUCUCACAUCCCAAACAUCGUACAUAAGAAGUGAUUUGUAGCAGGGCAAGGAACUGAUGAGUGAGAAGCAAGCCAAGUCUACCAUUGUCAUCUCCCGGUAAUAUCCGAGCUUUAUAUUAUUUAGAAGUUACGUUGCAUCAAUUGUGGCUAUCAUCAUAUUUGUUUUGCUUGGUUUCUUCUUCUAUAUAUAUAUAUAUAUAUAGGGAUAGGAUCAAGGGACAAAUAUUUUUACACUAUUUUUAAGCCUUUUGAUGACAUGACAUCCAAUGAUUCUUAUUUAUUCAUUAAAUGACAUAAAUGCUUAUGUGGAUUUUAACUAAUAUUAAAGAUUAAAAAAAAACUGAAAAAAAAAAAUCUGGAAAAUUAAAACUAAAAUUAAAAAAAAGGAAGAAACCUUAACUGAAAUCUAAACUUAAUAUUAGAAUUUAGGGUUUCGGUUUCGCAUUCACACAUUCUAUCUUAUUCCCUAGCUUGAUUUUUUUUAGGAUUAAGUACCUAAAAUUCUCCAACUUUUUAGUGUAAUUCUAAAUUGGUCUCAACCUUUUUAAACAUUCCAAGCAAGUACUCAACUUAUUGAAAAUGUCACAUUCGUUAAGCCUCAUUGAAAUUUUUGUUAGAUUAACUAAGGCAUACUUUGUCUCUAACAUCAAUAAGAAUAUCAUGAAAGCAUGGCCUCCACUAAUUAAUGGUCACUACCACCCCUUUUAGGCCAUAACCUCCAAACCCUGCAUACAACCACAAACUUCACCCUACAACUCAAGCUACCAAAAUCGAGAAGAAGGUCAUGGAGGUUGCUGAAAUGGUAUGAACUGUCAUGAUGCAGCUGCCACCAUCUUCACCGCCCACAAAGAAGAACUCGAAACUUUACUAGCUAGAGAUCGACAAAUGAGGAAUUCACAUGAGCAUAAACAAGCUCAUUGAAACCCUAUAUGAAUUUUUAACCCUCUUCCUUGUUAGAAGAUUUCCCAGUCUUCAUUUUUUUCAUUUAAUUCGUGAAUUUGUUUAUUUUUUUUAUUUUUUUUCAUUUUCAUGUCUUUUUUUUUAUGAUUUUUUUUGUUUGUUAUUAUUUUAGUGUCCAAGUAAGCAAAUAAGUGGAACCUAUUAUUGCCACAUGUACAUUUAACGGAAAAGUUAACUGUGACUUAAUGGAUGCGACAUUGUCAAUAGGUUGAGUACUUGUUUGGAGUGUUUAAAAAGGUUUAUACCAAUUUGGAAUGGUACUUAAUCCUUUUAUUCUAAUGUAUUCAAUUUAAUGACAAAAUAUAAAUGUAUAUUAUAUAUUAUCAUGUUAAUCGUGCUUCGCAAUUUGACACUUAUGCUGAUGUGUUAAAGAAAUAUGUUCUUAUCACAAACCUGACUCGAGAAGGCACAACUAAAACCCUUAAGUUUUUCAAGCAAAAUCAUAUCUUGUUAUCGUCCUCAUUUGGUGGCUUGACUUAGAUUGAACUAUUUUAGAUUUAAUCUAGUAUCAACACUUAUGUUUAGUGAACUUGUAUACGCUAAGACAAGAUUUUUCAAAUUGGACAAUGAUCCAAUAUAUUAUUAUGUCUUACAAGUCUCAUCUGUAAUUGUGUGACUCAAAAGGAUUGGUUUAGGGUUGGCGGAGUUCUUGAAGGCCCAAUUGCCUGUUGUUGGUGGUUCUGCCCGUCCCCAGAUUGUCGGGUGCCCCCGCCCCCAGGACACAUCAAGGUGAACGUAGACGGUUCUUGGAAUGAGAUUUCUAAUCGUAGUGGUGUAGGCAUCAUUGCGAGGAAUUUCCAUGGUGAUUUUGUUGCUGCGCGGGUUGCUCGUUUCGAGAGUGUGUUUCUCCCCGGCUCAUAUUGAGGCUUUGGCGGUGAGGGAAGGUCUGUCGUUGUGUGUGUUCCUUGUUGAAAGGGGCUAUCAAAAUUUCAUUUUAGAAAGUGAUACCCUCCAUAUCGUGACGGCUUUAUGUAAGCCUUCGGUUAAUAGGUUCUUCAUCGGUCCUGCUAUCGAGGAUGCUAAAGCUAUUUUUGUCUUCGAUCGCUGGAGGUUCUUCUACCCAUGUUCGACGACAGGCUAAUGAAAUGGCCUACCAACUCACUAAGCUUGCCCUUCAUUGUGAGGUUCUCCGGUCUUAGUUCGAGGAACCUCUAGAUGUGUUAACUGAUCAUUUUGUGUUGGAUUGUAAUGGUUGAUAGUUAUUGAGAGGGGCUGUUUCUUGCUCCCCUCCCUCAGAUGUAAUGGUUGUUAUCAGGCUUCUUUUGAUCUAAUGAAAUGCUCUAUCGUUGCUCUUCAUAAAAAAUAAAAACAACUCUAAUUAUAUAAAGAGCUUGUUUUGAAUUGUUUUUAAAAUGAUUAAAAACGUUUCUAGUAAAAAUGAUUUCGAACCAAUCUUUAAUAAAAAUGAAGUGAAUACUAAAAAAACACUUUAAGUAUUUUCUAAAAAAAAACACCAAUUAUGUGUCAGCACUUGAAGUGCUUCAAAAACCUAAAAAUAUUUUUUCUAAAAACGUUUCAAUAAUUUUAAAAGUACUUUCAAAAGAGUCUGAAGUCUUUACCAUAAAGCAAAUGAUUUUGCCAUGACUCAAGAAGAAAAAGUAGAGAUAGAAAAGAACACCGACGGCUACAGGCUACAACACUAUGUUUUCGGUAGGUGAUGUGUCGAAAGUUUGGACCCGACUUCUCUGCCCUCUCACUUCCCAUGCACUCUCAUCCCCUCCUAUUAUGUGUGGUCACGGUUAAGCCACGUCAACAUUUUAUAUUGAUUUUUUUUAUAGAGAUAAUAAGACAAAAAUCAAUAGUAAUAUAAAAUGUUGACGUGGUUUAACCGUGACCACACAAAUAGAAGGGGAUGAAAGUGUAUGGGAAGUGGGAGGGUAGAGAAGCCAGGUCCCGAAAGUUUUGUUUUGCUGCCAACCUAGGAACUAGGGUUAGACCCUUGAUUUAGAGGUGGACAAACCGCCCUUGAUAUAGAGUGGAAUAUUCUCGACGCAAACACAGUGAAUAAUGUCUUCCUCUUUAACCCAAUAGGUCUUUAAUUUUAACUUUCAUUCCAUUAGUUUAGAUGAAUUAGUUUACGUUAUCCAAUCACUUGUAAAAGAAAAAAUAUUGGUCAAGUUAGGAUUAUGGUGCGCGAAUACGAGAGUGGAGGGUUCUGCAAUUCGUAAAAACUCAAAAUUUCUCAAUUUGAGAGCGGAAUGGAUUCAAAAAUUAAAAAAGUAUAAAACUAAUUAAAAAAUGUCCACUUCUUAUCUGUUAACAUGAGCAUUAUUAGCAACCCAACCCAAUUGAGUCUCCUAGUAUUUUUUGUUGAAAGGUACAAUUUAUUCAAUCAAUUAUAAUUGAUAAGUUUAUAUCCUCAGCAAGAAUGUUGAAAAGAAAAUCGGGACCUAUACAAUCUCAUAUAAAGGUUCCCCCUACAAAUUGAAUGAAAGUUGCCAUGUAUGGUCUCCUAGUUGACUGCCGUAUAAUUACCAUGUAUAGUCUCUUGUAUAUUACAUGUAUUUGCCUUCAUAACGGAUUAGAAUAAUACACAAAAAUUCUCAAAAUUUUGACAUGGUAACAGAGUGGGUUUUCAAAUCUGUUGUCAAAUUAUUGGGUUCACUUAUAAACAUUACCAAUGUAGCUCCACGUCUGACCCACUCCAAAGUGGUCCUACGUGAGGGGCGUGUUGAAUAAAGUAAAAGGUUUCACAUCGGCUAUCUUACCAAAAAAAUCACAACUUAUAUCAAAUGUUUCCACUUCUAAUUGUAUUGAGACCUUUUGCAUAGAAACAUCACACCUAUUGGUUGCACAGGUGAUUAAGUAAAGAUAGUAUCGAUGCUACUAGUAGUGUACCGUGACCAUCUCUCUGAAACUUUGACAUUAUCGUACCAUGCUUCAUAGGAUUGGUUUUUCAAUGGUUUAUAAGCUUCACAAUUGUCAAUUUGUUCUCUAAUCCCCUCCUCCCCGAGUCAAGGAGGUUCUUGUUCUUUGAAUGGAGAAGGCAUCCGCUUGAACAAAAGGAGAGGAAGGAUAAGCAUUGUUUGCAUGUCCAAUAUCCUUUCGGAGUAAUGACUUGAAGUGGACAUGCAUCAUCUUCAUCUACUUGUACCAAAACAAGCAAAAAAAACCCACAGAAAAUCACUCUCACAACACAACUCGAUGGAUGGACAAAGAAAGAGAGAGUGAGAGAGACCCAACUUGGUUUCCUUCCUUUUUAUGAUUUUCACCACCUUUGUGGUAACCCUACAUAGCUACUUGCAAUGUGGGGCUCGAUAUUGGAGUUUGAAAUAAGUUGUAAAUAGCAUAUAUAUGAGUAUGAAAUAAGUUGUAAACUCGGUCGAUAUCUAAGUUUGAAUUCUCAUAAGAAGGGGUGGGCAGAAAAACCGUUCAACCAAACCAACCACCAAACCAAACGGUAAAUAUCAAUUAAUGAUAAAAAGUACAUAUUUUAUGAACAUUUAAUUUGUUGGAAGCGUUCCAAUUGAACCUUCCCGACUUACGUUUAAAUCACAUGAUUAUGACUCAUAAGCGUAAUACCAUUUCAAUUUACCUAAGAAAUUCCGCACAAAACAAAUUAAAACGACUCAAAACCCACAUGAGCAUAUGAUACGACAAGACAUGAUUAACACAACUUUUCUCCUUUUUCAACGAGUACUAUGAAGUAUUCUAUAUUGCAAGUCAAUUUGUAAAUUCUGACUUUUGUUAAAUUCCAAGAUUAUUUUCCUCAUUCAAAUAUAACAUUGUAGUAAAUAUGAUUUCCAGUCCUUUCUAUUUCAUUGGUCCACCUUUCAUAGAAACCCAAAUAACUCUGAUAUUGACACAGAUAUGCUUUCUUUCUCUUCUUUCUGGAUUUUGGAGCUGAUUAUCUGGGAUUCUUGUUCGACUGCUAUUCUGAAGAGAAUCUCAACGCUGUAACUUAUAAUCAAUAAUGCGCGAAAAAAUUUUCUAUUCCAAAAGGGGACAAAUAUGAAAAUCACUGAAGGGACAAUAAGAACUCAUUCCCUCAAUCAAAUAUGCAAUCUCUUAUUUCCACUCUUGAGUCUCCACUUGGGAACAAGUGAUUCAGCGUGAAUGUUCUACGUUCUACUUUUACAUUGGUUUACGUGGGUUGAUCAUACCGAGCGAAAAGUCCCCGAUGUAAACAAAGAAUGCUAGAGCAGUUAAGGUGAUCAUUAAGACCGCCGUAGAGGAAGACGUAGGUUAGAAAUGUGAGGUAUGAGGUCUCCACCACCACACAAGUAAUCCUCGCUGCACAACUGGAAGUAGCAGAGGACGAUGGGAUUCGGCGCAUGUGAUGAUGAGGAUGAUGAAGACCAAGAAGAGGAAUCUUAACAUGUAGUAGAACUGGUUCAGCCAUAUCGAAGGGAGGAUGAAGUAUAGUUCGACGAAAACUGCUCCGAAUGGGAGGAUCCCUCCGAUUAGAAUUGAGAAAACUGGGUUCAUGUACCAGGCCUGUUCUGGGAUCUGUCUUGGGACUUUGUUUGUCUUUACUGGAUCCUCAAGUGCUGGCUUCCUGAACCCAACAUAGCCUCCCACAAAUACGAGUGGGACUGAGAUUCCGAACCAAAAAAAGACCAGGGUCAACAUUGUGCCAAUUGUCACAGCUCCAGAUGAGUUCUGGCCCCAAAUCACAGUGUACAAGACAAUGACAAUGGCAGAGAUAAUUGCUGGGAACAUGACUGCAGUCCUGAAUGCGAUUUUCAUCCAUUCUGUACCCUGAAACGUCUUGUACAAGCGAACUGAGGCAUAACCGGCGAAAAGUCCCAUGAAGACAAAAGGAAAGAGCAUUGUGGUCAUUAAGAUGGGGAGAGGAAGCCUAGGACAGCAAAUAUCAUUGUCACCAGUAUCAUUCCAAACAAUUGAACACCAGUUCCAACAUACACACAGAGCAAUUCAGAAUUAUUUGGAGCCCUGAAGACAUCCCCGUGGAUAAGUUUCCAUCCUGGUUCUUCUUGCGCUUCUUCCUGGGUCUCAAGUUCAUUAUACUUGGAGAUAUCACGGUAGAGUGUUCUUAGCAUAAUCAUCGCUACCAUACCCGAAAGGAAGAAGACAACCAUCCAUGAGUUGACAAUUGAAAACCAACGGAUUUGGUUACUCAUCCGUAGAUAAGCAUCCCAUCUAGAAGCCGACUUCACAUCACUCUCCUAAACAGGUAGACAUGAAAAGAAGUAUCUUAUCACAAAUGACAAAGUAUGUUCAACACCAUUACAUCAGAAAUAUUAGGGCAAUAGACAUACGAUAGUAGUUCAUGACACAAAUAAAUGAUGCUGUAAUAAGUAUAGAGUAGACAGUAAAUUAUGAGUUAUAAUUCUCCUACGAGAAAAUACCAAGUAAAAUUUUAAAUUACGGAGCUUACCUGGAAUUCAACAUCAUAGGUAAAUACGAUUUCUUGCUGCUCGGCAACCUCUUGAGGAGAGUUAGAAUUAACAACAGUAUGUUUCGAAUGGGGGUUACAGUUAGUAAAACGAGUCCUAUCAUUCCAUUUCCCUUCAUACUCAUGUUUAACACUGUGGACAUUCAACAGUCAAACAAACCAUAUUACCAACUGAUAAUUUAGAAAGAAGAUUCAGCAAGAAGGAAACAUGCAGGAGAAAAGGAACGCCCUGAAAAAUACUGACCUGACCUCAAAUCCACAAUUCUUACCUGUCCAGUUCGCGAUCUUUAUGGUACUUUACAGUAAAUGCCAGAUGGUUGUGGAUAAAGUAUUCCUCUUCUUUGCUCUGAGCACAAUAACAUACUGUAAGAACGAGAAAAACAUAACCAUCCCUGCAUAAGAAAGGUAUUUGGUGCCAACAAAUAAUGGACAUACCCCAGCAUAAUGGCCUUUGAACCCAAUGUGGAAUCCAAGCUGAUAAACAGUACGGUUUUUUUUUUGCUGAGGUACAGUACUUUUUUUAGAGGUACCUUUUAUCAACCUGUCAUAGAAAAAGGAAGUAUAGAAUGAAAGGAAUGGAACUUUCGUUAUUUUAACCUUAAGAACAUUUUUAACCCUGAAGAGUCAUUGCUAUUAUUCACUACACCUUCAUUAAAACUAAAGUUUUUAAGGACUUUUCGUUAGUUUUGCUUAGAAAAAAAAAGGUCUUAAUAAGAGAUGCCCGGCUGACAAUUUAAUCAUACUGGAUCAUUUAGCGAUAUACUCAAACUCCCUUCACAACUCCCGAAUCCGAGCUGACAAUUUUGCACAUACUGACAAACUGCACAAGUCCGACUGUAAGUUUAUGAACAUAGGAGAAACAAGUAGGCUUAGGGUUCUUAGAGUUGUACAAAUGCAAUAACACUAACCACAUAGGGGGAGCUCUCGAUCCUUUCACCACGGAGCACUUCCCCAAGAUUCUCUAUACUGUCGACGAUUCUCUCAGAUUGGCAGUAAGGGAGAGAGUAAUAUGAGUAAGGAAGCUGAGUCUUUAAAUCUGAGUUUUGUAACCUUCAGUCUUGCAGGCCACAAGCACUUUGCUUCUCAGUCAAGUGAAGUAAAACAACGACGGAAUUUCAAAUCUAAUUUACAAGAAGUAAUUCAAAUUCCACAGACAGCAUUUGUAAUCCAGUGAAACUAAAUGACGAUCUUCUUAGAGUACUUGCUUAGGAGUUAGGGCAUAUACGGAUCGAUGUCGGACCAACCAAGAACUGAUGCGCCGCGAAUUACACUCACUAUAUUUGAACAAAGGUCAACUAACCCUAAUUCGCCGAUCAUUUCAAUAGCAAAGUAGCAACCAAUCGAAUUCACGAUAACCUACUCUCCAAUCCUUCUAUUUUCCUCCAUUUUCUCGGCAACCAAACAGACGAAACCUAACACUAGGUCACAAACAGUUGAGAAGCUACACAGGAGCAAGGAGGGGCGCCCGCCCCUCCUCUCGCCGGAAAUCGUCGGUUCUAGUUGUGCUGCACGGCGCUGCGCUGCUGGUGCUGCUGCACGUUAUAAUUUUUUUUAGAAGAUGCCCAGGCCAAACGACGUGGUUUGGGCUUGGGAUUUAAAAAAAGUGCUAAACAAAACGGCGCGGUUUGUGGAGGGUGCCAUCCCAAUCAGAGAUUCAUAUGUGGGAUUGGACGGAUUAGGAUUCUUUAUGUGGGGUCUUUAGAAUCAAUCAAUUAUGUCCGUUCAUCUACAUCGUGCGAUCUGAAACUAUUUUAAAACAAAUAUUUAAAAUUAAAUAUAAAUAGUAACUAAUGAAAACUGACCGCAUGAUAUACAAUGAGCGGACACAAUUGAUUAAUCCUCCAGAUCUCCACAAAGAUGAUUUGGAGAGGAUCCUCAUCCGGAUUGGAAGGACCGCCCGAUGAAAAUUUUACACGGAAAGAAUUUCAUAUUUUUUUUUGCAUAAACAACUUGUAUUAUGAAUUUAUGGAUGAACGUAAUCAAUUUUUUCUUCUAGUCUCAUCUAAAAAGAAAACUAUAAUAAAAUAAAUAUAAAAAAUUAACGUAAAAUGUUGUACAAUACUACAAUAUUGUUGCAGUUCUAUUUAGAAUAGGAAUGUGAUUGUGUAAAUCCUAGAGAAUAUGGGAAAGUAUUAUAUAUUCCUAUUAGGAUUAGAUUACCUAUUAAAUGUUGUAAUCAUAAAGAGAAAGGUAUUUACCCUUCCAAUUACUAUAAAUAAAGGCACAAUGGGGUGAAUCAAACACACCUCACAAUUAAAUCAAUCUCUCUUCUCUCUAAAGUGGCCGGCCUCUCUCUCUCUCUCCCUAAACCUUAGAUCGCUCAAUCAAAUAGGCCUACAACACGUUAUCAGCACGCUCUUGCCAGAAGCUGAGGAACUGAAGCAUCGUAGGAGGAGGCUAUCAUCCACCACAUUCAAAGGCUAAUUCGUUUUCUGCUGCUCAGGUACGCUUAAAAUAAAGGAAGAUAUUUGAAACGACCCAUGAAGCAUGAAAACAUUCUCCAUGAUGCAUGAACCCCUUAUGUUUAUAUUUCCCUUCCAAUAUAUAUAUAUAUAUAUAUAUAUUGUAUAUGUUCAUAUAUUUGUUUCAUGCAUCGCACAAUUAAAUUGUUAUGUGGAAUUUGUGAGUUAAUGUAUAAAAUUAAAUUAGAAGCAUAUUAGGUUUUUCCUAAAACCUAAAGGGAAUUGAAAAAAAAAAAAAAGGGAAUGGGAUUGGUGCAUCGCACCAUCCCUGUGCCAAAAAGGAAAACAAGCUUCAGCCUGAUUUUGGUUUCUUUGCUGGGCCUGCAGCCCAUGGCCUCUCUCGGCCUGCAUAAAAAACCUGCCAGCCCUCGGCUGGGCGCCUUAUGCACACACGGCACACAAAGCCAGCCCUCGGGCUGGGCCUUUUGCGCCACAAAAUCAAGGCCCCAGCUUCGCUGGGCUCCCUGUGUGACCAACCCGCAAGCCUUGGGCUUGCCCCCGUGUCCCCUUGGACCAAAACACCUAAACCAGCUACGGCUGGGGGUUUUGUCCCUCCCGUGGCCUGCAGCCAUACCCUAGGCCCUGCCGUUUUUACUCAAGGCACCCCGUGCCUUCCCUUACCCACGACACCCAUGCCCAAAUAAUUUUGGGGCAUUUUUCCACCCACAAGCUAUUAUUUUAGCAUUUUAAAUAAUUUAACCAGUAUGUUAAUAUUAUUUUGCUUCUACAAUCGACCAUGUAUGGCCCGAUUUAUUGAAUUAAUUAAAAGUGACCUGCAGUCCACUAAUCUGAUAAUGAAUCCAAAAUUAUUGACCUGAAGAUCACUUUUGGACAUUAACGAUUCAAUAAUUUAUUUUUAUACUUUGAACCGUCACAUACUUUCGUAGUAACGAAGCUCUCACACUUAAGUUCCCGAAGCCAACUCAAAUCCUUAGUUAGUAUAUUGCAUUCUGUGUUUCUUGCAGGAACCUCUCAUUAUGAACUAAUCGUUCAUAAAACUAAUUUGAACCUGUAGUUUCAAAAUUAGUGCCUUUGAAACCUGAAGUUUUCAUUCAAAACAUACCACAUGAAACCUAAAGUUUUCAUGCAUAAAUUAAACUAAUACAUGUCUAUAGAACCUGUAUGUUCUACGAUAUAUGUCUAUGGCUUACCAUAUAACUAAUCACGUUUUUCCCUCUGUUUUAGGGACAUGUCGAACUUGAACAAGCUCGAUUUCUCCACUCUCGAAGUCUCUGGAAGAAACUAUCUGAAGUGGGUUCAAGACGUGAAACUCCAUCUCACUGCAAAAGGUAUUAGAGCCACCAUCGAGACACCUAUUGCCGACAAACCUGUCGACGAAGCUCAGAAGGCUACUGCAAUGAUCUUCAUUCGAAGACACAUCCAUGAUGCAUUGCAGACUGAGUAUCUCGCUGAGGAGGACCCACGCACCAUCUGGCUUGCUCUGGCUGACCCUUUCGAUCACUAGAAAUACAUAUACUUGCCUGAAGCAAGACACGACUGGCAGCAUCUUCGUUUCCAAGACUUUAAGUCCGUGAAUGAAUACAACUCUAAAGUUUGUAGAAUCCAUUCUUUGUUGAAAUUCUGCAAAGUGGAACUAACCGAAUCAGAUCUCCUGGAGAAGACCUAUUCGACCUUCCAUACCACCAAUAUUGUCCUGCAGCAAUAAUAUAGGGCACAAAAAUUCACCAAGUUUUCAGAUUUGAUCUCUGUUUUAAUUCUUGCUGAAAAGCAGAACCAGCUUUUGAUGAAGAAUCAUCAAGCUCGACCCACUAGCUCGAACGCUGCGCUUGAAGCGUAUGCGACCAAUUUUAGCAGCCAUAAACGACGAAAGAACCGUCGUGGCCAUGGAAAUGGGCGGCAAGCCUAACCACAGGCCCAAGGUCAACAGAGUGCCGCACCUAAGGAAAGAAUUACGACCCAGCAGCGUUCACCACUCGCACCUAAGGUCCCAAACUUCAAGAACAAGGGCAAAGCUCCCGUUCAGGCCGCUUCUAUUGAACUAGAUAUGUGCUAUCACUGUGGAUCAAAUGAUCAUUGGUCAUGCGUAUGCCGAGCUUCCCCUGAGGCUAUUGCUAAGUAUCAUUCCCGUCGUGAGCCUAACUUUGCAUAUGUGGAUCAUCCGGAUGAUGCAACCACAUCAAUGGAGAUAUCAGACUUCCAGGAGGCAUCAGCACCUAUGGAAGACUAAAUUAGACAUGUUUUAGGGCAUUAGCCCCUAGUGGCCGAACCCACUAGGAGUGGCCGGCCCCUACCCCCUAUUUUGCUAGGUUUAUGGUUUAAUUUUGAACAAUUUUUCUAUGUAUUUGGAAUCAUUUGUUUGGUUUUGGUUUGUUUUGAAUUAUGGAUUGUUAUUGGAAUGGAUAUUAUUUUCUCGAAUUGCUUAAUUGAAUGAAUGAACUUAUAUUUAUGCAUGUGACCAAUUCCAUCAAUUUAUUCUAGGUAUGUAUAGUGGGGAAGUUAGUUGUUUGGCAGAUAGUGCAACUACGCACACCAUUUUGCGUGAACGACACUAUUUUACUAACUUCAUACCCAAGAAAGCUCAUUUGACAACUUUCUUAGGCUCAUCCAACCUGAUUGAAGGAUACGGAAAGGCACGUAUCAUGUUAUCUAAUGGUACAAUCUUGACCAUUAAGGAAGCACUUUAUUCUCCACGUUCCGGAAGAACGUUGCUAAGUUUUUAGAGAUAUUCGAGAUAAUAAAUAUCAUAUUGAAACCACUGAAGAUCAUGGUUCUGAAUUUCUUUGUAUCACUUCAUACGAAUAUGGCCAGAAGUAUAUUCACAAGAAGUUGGAACGUCUGCCGAGUGGGUUGUACAUCACAACCAUUCGCAGCAUAAAGGCCCACAGUGUGGCCGGCCCUAUGCCUGAGUUCUAGGACACUUUGUUGCUUUGGCAUGACCGUUUGGGACAUCCUGGACGUGACAUGAUGCGCCGUAUCCUCAAAUCUUCACACGGGCAUAAGUUACACCUACACGUUGGAGUCCAGCCAUGCAUAGCGUGUUCUUUAGGGAAGUUGAAUACUCAACCCUCCCAUACAAAGAUUAAUCAAGACCCUCCUAAAUUUCUUCAGAGGAUUCAAAGGGACAUUUGUGGACCUAUCCAACCAACCUGCAGACCAUUUAGAUACUUUAUGGUGUUGGUUGAUGCAUCGACAAGAUGGUCACAUGUUUGCUUGUUGUCCAUACCAAUGCCGCAUUUGCUAAACUCCUAGCUCAAAUCAUUAAGCUAAGGGCUCACCACCCUGAUUAUCCGAUUAAGUCGAUUCGACUGGAUAAUGCUGGAGAGUUUACGUCACAGACUUUUGACGAUUAUUGCAUGUCAGCAGGGAUUAAUGUGGAACAUCCUGUGCCCCAUGUUCACACCCAAAACGGCCUGGCAGAAGCUUUCAUAAAGCGCCUUCAAUUGAUAGCUCGGACUUUGGUUAUGAGAACCAAACUGCCGGUAUCUGUCUGGGGGCUAUGCAAUAUUGCACGCAGCUAUGUUGGUCUGCCUGAGGCCCAUCGCUACCCAACCACAUUCACCGUUACAGUUGGUCACUAGAUACGAGCCUGACGUCUCGCAUUUACGGGUGUUUGGGAGUGCCAUUUAUGUGCCAAUAGUGCCGCGGCUACAUACCAAAAUGGGUCCUCAGAGAAAAAUGGGAAUCUAUGUCGGUUAUGAUUCACCAUCAAUUGUUCGAUACUUAGAACCCUUGACAGGAGAUCUCUUUACCGCACGUUUUGCGGAUUGUCACUUUGAUGAGACAGUCUUCCCGUCAUUAUGGGAGAUAAGCAUGCUAACGUUCCUGUAGAACGCCGUGAAUUGUCGUGGUAUGCUCCCACUAUGUCUCAUUUAGAUCCCCGCACUGCCCAAUAUGAAACUGAGGUGCGACGAAUUAUAGAUCUUCAGAGCAUUGCUCAAAGCAUGCCGGAUGCUUUUAAUGAUCUAGCAAAGGUGACAAUAUCACAUAUACCCGCUGCAAACACACCUGCAAGGAUAGAUGUACCCCGUGUACAUCAACAGCCCGUCUGGGAAGGCCGAGCCAUCCCCAAAGGUGGGGAGGCCGCACCCUCCACACGGUAUGGUACAUUGGCGGCUAGCCAAUCAUCUGCGCCGACCCUGAAGCGUGGCAGACCCCCUGGUUCAAAGGAUUCACAACCUUGGAAGAGGAAAAUGGCACCAACUAGUGACCCUAGUUUGAAUCCGACCACCGUUAACUUAUCCGUUCCAACGCAUGAGGUUAUUCUAGAUUACGGUGAUGCUUCAGAUGGAACAUGCCGGCCUCCCGAGAAUCGCGAGAUUUUGGUCCAUUACACAGUAUUGGAUGAGAUUUGGAAUAGGAAUGAGAUGAUCAUCGACGACGCAUUCUCGUACUCAGUAGCUACUAACAUCAUGCUUAGCGAUGACAUUGAACCACAUUCCGUCGAUGAAUGCCGACGUAGAACCGAUUGGUCAAACUAGAAACAAGCAAUCAGGUCAAACUUGAUUCACUCGCGAAACGUAAAGUGUUUGGACCUGUCGUCCCUACACCACCACACGUGAAGCCUGUUGGCUACAAGUAGGUUUUCGUGAGGAAGUGUAAUGAGAAGAAUGAAAUAUUGCGAUACAAAACACGCCUCGUAGUGCAAGGCUUCUCUCAACGCCCUGGAAUUGAUUACGAGGAAACAUAUUCCCCCGUAAUGGACGUUAUAACGUUCCACUACCUUAUCAGUUUGGUAGUUUCUGAAAAACUGAAUAUUCAGCUUAUGGACGUGGUAACCGCGUAUCUCUAUGGGGAUCUAGAUACGGAAAUAUACAUGAAAGUUCCAGAAGGACUUCCAUUAACUGGCUCAAAUAGUUCUAGACCACGGAACACUCUCUCAAUUAGGUUGAAGAGGUCACUCUACGGAUUGAAACAAUCUGGGUGGAUGUGGUAUAACCGUCUGAGUGAAUAUUUGACAAGUCAGGGUUAUGUGAACAACGAACUAUGCCCAUGCGUGUUCAUAAAGAAGUCACAUUCUGGAUUUGUAAUUGUUGCAGUUUAUGUCGAUGACAUGAACCUCAUUGGUACUCCCGAAGAGCUUGAGGAAAUUGCUGCAAACUUGAAUCGAAAUUUGAGAUGAAGGAUCUUGGGAAAACUCGAUAUUGUAUCGGCCUGGAGAUCGAGCAUUUCAGAUUGAAUCCUAGUACAUCAAUCGAACUACACCCAAAAUGUGUUACGUCGCUUUAAUGAGGAUAAAGCGAAGCCUUCGAGCACACCCAUGAUCGUUCGGACUCUAGAUGCUAAACGAGAUCCCUUCCGUCCAAAGGAGGAUGAGGAAGAGAUUUUGGAACCCGAAGUUCCUUACCUAAGUGUAAUUGGUGCUUAUUAUACUUGGCUCAGUGCACUAGACCCGACAUCUCUUUCGCUGUGAAUCUAUUGGCUAGAUACAGCAAUGCGCCUACACGCAGGCACUGGAAUGGUGUCAAAGACAUUUUCCGCUACCUCAAAGGUACUACGGAUUUGGGCUUGUUCUAUACCCACAAAUCUCCUAGUGUUGCCGCCCCUUAUGGAUCUAUGAUUGAUUCUCGCCUUGUUGGUUACGUAGAUGCUGGAUAUCUGUCUGACCCACAUAGAGCACGUUCUCAAACGGGUUAUGUCUUUACCGUUGGAGACACCGUUAUAACUUGGAGGUCUACCAAGCAAACGCUAGUUGCGACUUCGCUAACCAUACUGAGAUUCUCGCCCUGCAUGAAACAUCGCGUGAAUGCUUUUGGCUGAGAGAGUGAUGGGACAUAUUCGAAGCACUAGUGGUCUUACAUCAGUCGUUGGCCUUCCUACGACAAUCUUUGAAGACAAUACAUCAUGUAUCGAGCAGUUAAAGAAGGGAUACAUCAAGGGAGAAAACACCAAGCACAUAGCGCCAAAGUUCUUUUACUCACACCAGCAGCAGCAGCAUCAGAACAUUGAAGUCAAGCAAAUCCGUUCCCAGGACAACCUGGCCGAUCUCUUCACCAAAUCAUUGCCAAAAUCUACAUUUCAGAACCUCGUCCAAGGAAUCGGUAUGCGUAAAUUAUCAGAAUGAAAUCGCUUGUAGUUCUCUUAUUUAAGAAGUUAUGUCUAACUCAGGGGGGAGUAUCUAGAAGCAUACUGACAUGAUCUUAAUGUACUCUUUUUCCCUACGAUUAGGAGCAUUUUGCCCAUUGGAUUUUUGCUACCUAAUUAGGUUUUAACGAGGCACCCGUUCUAGGAUGAUCAUACUCCGUUAAGUUCACUACAUUCGUCCAGUUUGACGAUUGUUUUAGACAUUAUGCAUAUUUUCUUACUUUUCUCCUUAGUCUAUGGGUUUUUCCCCAUUCCUUGGGUUUUACCAUAGCGAGGUUUUGUGAGUUUUUACAAAUGCAUACUUCAAAUUAAAUUUGAGACUCGUGAUGACCCGUUGUGCCGAUGACUUCAUCAACUAUUCUACCUUCUCUGCUGAAGAUCUGAUGCGAUGGUUUGUUGAGUAUUUACACACUCAAGGGGGAGUGUUGCAGUUCUAUUUAGAAUAGGAAUGUGAUUGUGUAAAUCCUAGAGAAUAUGGGAAAGUAUUAUAUAUUCCUAUUAGGAUUAGAUUAUCUAUUAAAUGUUGUAAUCAUAAAGGGAAAUGUAUUUACCCUUCCAACUACUAUAAAUAAAGGCACAAUGGGGUGAAUCAAACACACCUCACAAUUAAAUCAAUCUCUCUUCUCUCUAAAGUGGCCGGCCUCCCUCUCUCUCUCUAAACCUUAGAUCGCUCAAUCAAAUAGGCCAACAACAAAUAUAUCAUUUUUAUUUAAACUAGGAGAAAAUAUGAAAUUUUAUAUUUCAAUUUUAUUCAAUUUUAAUUUCCUGUGCUAAUUGGCAAAGGUUUUUUAUGAAAGUUGACUGUCCUAUUUAUAAAAUGUGGGAGGAAGACUUAGGUUAGAGAAGGAAUCCUGCCAAAGUCAACUAUAACUCUUAAGGAUAUGAAUUAAUACUGUAAUUUGAUUCUGAUUGUACUAGAAUAGGAUGAGAUUCUUACUUGUACGUUGUAUAAAUAUAAGCCCAAGGUUCUAAAAAAUGUUAGGCGCUAGUCGGGCGGCGGGCUAGCGCCUAGCGCCUAGGCGGAUUUAGGUAAAUUUCUUGUAUAUCUUGUAAAUAAAUGCAUAUUGACACCUAAAAAAAACUAUACUUUUAUGGAUAAUACAAUAAUGAUAAAAUGAAAAUUAGGUACACUAUUUCCAUAAGUGGAUGAACUUGUAGUAAAUCCAUCAUUUGCAAAUUAGAUACACCAUUUCCAUAAGUAUACCACCAUGAAACCAAAAAAGAAAAAAACACACAAUUAAUAAAAAUAAAUAAUAAAAAAACCUCCUAGGACCGCCUAGCUCGCCUAGCGCCCAGCCCGCCCAGCUCGCCUAGGCGCCGCCUAGGCCCAACACGAUUUUUCCACCCGAUUUGCCCAAAAACGCCUCGGUUGCUAGGCCGCCUACCGCCUAGGGCGUUUUUUAGAACACUGUAUAAGCCUUUGUGUUAUGAAUAAAAUCAUUCAGAAUAUAUUUUCUUUAUUAGGGGUUAGACGAGUGUCAAUUGAAAAAUAAAUUCUAAGCUGAGUUUUUUUGUGAAGAAAUUCAAUGGAAGCUAACAAUGCAUUACAAGAUAGUUGUGGUGUCAUGCCUAAAGAUAUAUAAUUACGGGAUUAAGGGCUAAUCACAAUGAUUUUUUACAUGGGUACUAUACCAUGGUUGAUCUUCAUGACCUCGAACUUAUGGUGACCUCAGAUUUUUUUACAUAAGUACUAUACCAUGUUUUUUUUAUAUGGAACCUUAUCAGUAGCAAUUGGAACUUGUUUAUAUUGAUAAACUAUGAACAACAUUGAUAUAGUCUAUUAUGUAAAAGGGUUUUAAAUGUCGCCCCUCCUCCCCCCCCCCAAUAAUUCCUAGUUUCGUCACUGGUCACAAUUUCGAAAAGGAACACACAUAUCACUCAUUUAAUACACAAACACAUACAAUACAAACAAUCGAAAUUAAAUGAAAUUAUGGAUUAUAUUUGUCGGCGAUUAAGAGCUGACCUUCAAGAAGUCCUGCGAAGCGACGCCAAGGAGGUAGAAGGAGUGGGCGCCAUGGACGAGAAGUAAGAAGAUCGCAAAGAUUGCCAGGACUGCCGGGGAUUUACGAGAUGCCAUGGCCUCCGGCUGAGAGAGAGAAGAGGAGGCCUGUAUAGGUCUGGAAAGGAGGCGAAUGAGGAGGAGUUAGUUUAUUGGUUGGUGUUUAAUAGUUCGAUUCGUAUUUACUAUUGCGUAGAAAUAAAAUAAAAUUUAUAUAUACUAAAGCCGAAUGAAAACAACAAACAUGUAUAAAGUAUGUUAUGUUUACUUUUUGAUGGGGCUCAAAUCAAUAAAAAAUAAACAAAUUGCUUUCGAAGUAGUGAAAAAUAUUUAAAAAAUCAAAAUAAAGUAUUUGAGAGUGUUGAUGCCAAGAGCUUGAUGCCGAAUUUCGACUCAGCUUUAGCGUACCGGGUGGAGAAACUUAUGCUGUCAAAAACUAAUGUUGGAGUCUUCACCGUGGAAUUGAAGCCUUGGUUGGACAGUUGUGACAUCAAACAUCAAAUCUUUAAUUUUUUUUUAGUAUUGAUAAUAAACAUAUUACACUAAGAAUAAACGGUAAAGACAAACACAUUAAUGCACAAAGAAAUAAACCCUCUUCAGAUAAUUAUUAGCAACUGUUAUAUGUGUUAUAAUUUUUAUCCAAUUUAAUUUUUCGGAUGAGGACUUGGAGAAGCAGCCAUGGAACUACUCUCUCUCUUUUUAAAACUUCAUUGAUAAUUCAGCCAUUGUUAAUCAAAUUCAAAAACUGGUGAGGGUCCAAAUUUGUUGAAUAUAGGCUGUCAGUCUAAAGUUAUUAUAAUUUAGUUGCAAAUUGAAAUACUUAUAAAUCUGAACAAUUUUAGAGAUUGUACAUAGCUUGAAUUUGAAAAUUCGGAUGGACCCUCUUUCUUUUGUUGUAUUGCUAAUAGCCUGAAAACUGUCUCAAACCGAGGGUUAGGCCAAAAGGCUUGUGGGUCUCACUCGGCCAAAACCAGGCAAUCAGGCUAGUGGGCUAGCCAUCUCCAACCAGCCAGCCUGAUUUUUUUUGUUCUUUUCCAUUUGCCCAGCCCACUUUUUUUGGAUUUUUUUUUAAUUUCUAAUUUUUUCCCUCCACCAUUUCUCACAUAUUUUUCACUAUUUCAUACUAUCUUACCUCAUUUUAUUUCAAUUCUUCACAUUCCAUACUAUAACCCUUUGGCCCUUGAUUGGAGAUGGUUUUUUGUCACAGGGCUAUGUUUGGUCUAUGGACCUCUGGCCCCACGGUUGGAGAUGGUAAGAAAUAUGGCCAUGCACGGUUCAUUAAAAUAUUAAUUUUUUAGAGGGCCAGAUGGCUAAAACGAGCAUUCUGGCCCUCAUUCGGUUGGAGAUGGCCUAAGCUACUCGUUAUGAAGUGACCUUAAAUUAGUAGUGGACUAUAACUAAAAAAAACUCAAAACCCUAAUUUAGAAUAAUUAGGAUGUCCAUUCUUGAUAGGUAAACAUAAUAUCCACAUCUUUUGUUUUAGGUAUGUUUGCCCACAACGCAUAAUUAUAUGCUAAUUUUAAAAAAGACGCUAAAAAAUGUGUUAAUAGACAUACAGCAAGUGAGGCGGCUGUUUGGCGUUUUGCAAUGGGAAGGAGUGGAUUUUUAUCAGAAAUAGAAAAAGAAAAAAGCAAAAUGAAAAAAGAGUUUAUCUAUUUAUGGAAUUUAACCGCACAGAAGAAUACUUGAAAAGCUUUGGAAUAUUCCAAUAUUGGAACAUACACGUGUCAGGUUGUUGGAGCUGGACCAUCUGGUUUUUAUGAUUCUUAACAAACUAAAUUGCAAUAACUCUCAAUUUCCACAUUAUUUAUUGCCAUUGCCACCAUUGAGAUAUGCGGACUAUUUUGUAAAGAAAAUGUUCAUUUUUUUUCCAAUUUUACCCCUCACUUUUGAGACACAAUGUUGACAUGAGGAGGGCAAAAUAGUAAUUUUGUAUCAAAAUACAUAAGAUAAAAAUAUGCACUUAUUAAGAGAAAUUAUCACACCAUCAUUUUUUCAUACUGGUAACUGAAAAUCAUGAUGUUUUUUGGAUAGUUUGAAUGAACUUAAGCGGUUUCGCUUGAGGAGAACGUGGGAGGAGGUGGACGGUUGUUCACACACACAAAGUGUGUGCUCUAUGCUAGUCAUAAUUACGUAUGCAAUAGCCGAAUAUAAUUGGAGUGAAUGAUUGUCGUAGUAUUUACCUGACAAAAGCAAUCACGUAAUGCAAUAGAUAAACAUGGCUCAAAUUCAAGGAAGGGAAUGAUUGAAACCCAAAAUAAAAAGAAUUAUUAUUGACACUAAAAAAUUCUCAUUGUAUACUCCGUAAUUUCAAUAUUUAAAAUAAAAGUAUAGUUUUGAAAAGUACUAACGAAAUUUUUGAACUGUUAAUAACAGUUCUAAAAUAUAUUAUUAUUUAGAGAUUUGAUUAUUCAAAAAACAAAAAUCUUAAACUUUAAUUUACCUAUUUAGGGGUCAUAAGGUACAAUUUAAUCGCACGCGAAACACGUGAUUUGCUAAAAUACAAUUUCUUGGGACCCAUCCGCACGUAACCGGACCCCGCCUAGCAUAAAAAAUGGGCCCACAGACCAUGUCCAUGAUGACUCAACCUUCCACAAACGCGCACGCCCGAAAAAAUACCACGUGGUUACUUCCUUAAAUAUCACGUUUGGCUUGGAGGGAAAAUGAUCCCCAAUCCUCUUUGUGGUGAUUCAGGAUAAAAUAAUUAUGUUCGUUUAUCGCACAUUGUGCGAUAAAAAAUCAUUUAAAAUUUAAAAUUGAAUAUAAAUAGUGUCUAACAAAAAUUGAUCGCACGAUUUACGAUGAACAGACAUGAUUGCUUGAUCUUUAGGAUUCCCACAAAAAAGAUCCGGCCUGGAGAACUAAAAACACAUAUAUGCCUGUACAAAAUCCGACACUGCACCAAUAUAAGAAUCCUAGCCCCUACAUUCAUAGCUAGUUCCGACACUGCACCAAUAUAAGGCGAGAGUUUUCGGUGGAUUGAAGCACGUACAUAUAAUAUAUAUCAUACUUACAUAUGCAAUAGCUGAAUAUAAUUGGAGUGUACGAUUGUCGUAGAAUUUACCUGACAAAAAUAAUCACGUAACGAAAGAGAUAAACAUGGCUCAAAUAUGAUUGAAACCCAAUUGUUGAUACUAAAAAAUUCUCAUUGUAUACUCUGCAAUUUCAAUAUUUAAAAUAAAAGUAUAGUUGUGAAAAGUAUUAACGAAAAUUUUAAAAUGUCUAUAACAAUUUUAAAAUAUAUUAUUAUUUAGAGAUUUUAUUUUCUAGAAACAAAAAACUAAACUUUAAUUUACCCAGGGUCAUAAGGUACAACUUAAUCUCACACGAAACACGUGAUUUGCUAAAAUACAGUUUCUUGGGACCCAUCCGCAAGUAAUCGGACCCCACCUAGCAUAAAAAAUGGGAAAAUGAUCCUUGCAUGUCUCUUUUCCUAUGAAUUUUAGGGAUUCCGCAAUCAUAAUCAUUCAUCAUAUAUCGUGCGGUCAAUUUUCGUUAAGUACUAUUUAUAUUUAAUUUUUAAAUUAUUUCUGAUCACACUAUAUACGAUAAAUGAUCACGAUCAUGGGAUUCGUAACAUCUCUAAGAAAGGGAUCCUCGCAUCCUUUUCAUAAAAAAUGGGCCUACACGCCAUUUCCACGAUGACUCAACCUUGCACAGACGCGCACGCGCAAAGAAAUACCGCGUGGUUACUUCCUUGAAUAUCACGUUUGGCUUGGAGAACUCGAAACACAUAUAUGCUUGUACAGAAUCCGAAAGUUACGAUCCCCUACCCAGCAAGCCAAAGAAUGCAAUCCUCCCCCGAAUCACAACGCUCCGCGUGGCAAAAUCACAACGAAAUCGGGCAAUAAAAUUUAGAGAGCUUCGAUCGUACUCAGCGCAGCACAAAAGCAAUCGAUUCCCCCCAAUCGCAAGGACACACGUGGAAACAUCCAAAACAAAAUCUAAGUAGCAAAACUUCCCAGGUAUUUACUCCGAAACCCAAAGCAGUAACAAAUUGACGAAACAUACCGAAACUCACCCCGAAAUCCAAAUCCAGUAACAAAAUUACCGUGCCCCCAAAUGCGUAACUCCUUCGGGAAUUGGGAAUCCAAAUCCGAAUCCGAGAAGUGUUCUAUUUUGGCUCCGGAACAGUUCACUAUAAAUAAAACAGUAAUACAGAGCAAAUCAAGCCCCUCUGCAAAUUCACAGUGAAGAUUUUGAAGUCUCUGCCAUAAUCUCGCCGUAACGUAAAAAAUUGCGUCAGGGAUGCUUCAAAGUUUCGUUUUUCCUCGAGAGGUUUUGUUAUGGAGUCGGCGGAGGCGAAGAGGAUUUUGGAGCCGGAGGAGGAGGUGGUGAUGAAGUGCUACUGCUGCGGUUUGAAAGAGGAGUGCACACCGGUGUACGUAGCGACGGUGAAGGAGAGGCACCAGGGCCAGUGGAUUUGCGGACUCUGCACUGAGGUGAUCAAGGACCAGAACUCGAGGUCGUCGAGGAAGAUUAGCACGGAGGAGGCCCUGAAGCGGCACGUCCGCUUCUGCGAGGAGUUUCCGACGUCGAGUCCUCCCGCGAACCCGACGGAGGAUCUGACAUCGGCGAUGAAACAGCUGUUGUGGCGGACUCUGGACUCGCCGAGGAGGGAGAGGCUGGGCGACUGCAGGCCGACGAUGGUGAGGUCCAGGCCGGUCCUGAGAUUUUGGAGCUCCUUGCAUGGUCUAAACUUUUGGUUGCUAUAUUUUUUUUUAUAUUUUAUAUUUUUAUUGUGUGUAAAUUGAUAUAAUGCAAAAGAAAAUAAAUAAAUAAAUAAAGAAAAAUGAAGCAUAGUGUGGUGGUCAUGUACCUAUCUGUGUUCUCUAUGUUUUUUAUUAGAAUAUCCAUACUUUUUAAAUACAAAAAUCUUGGUGAUAUGACUGUGUACUUAUUAUAUCACCGUACAAAUACCAUAAUCAAAAUCAUUCAUGCUCUUCUUAUCAUCUAGAGUUCAUCUAAAAAAAAUUAUGUGUUAAACGAAUCACUAGUUAUGAUAUUAGUAGCAUCUUAUAAUGAACUUUUUUCAUUGCAUUUUUUGUCAUGCCCUAAAGUGAGGAUGAUUCUCACUCCCCCCCUCCCGUUGAUUGCCAUUAGAUUAGUUAAAAUUUUGAGAUUCAUGUCUUAAACAAUUAAACCAACUUAAUCUAACAAUAUAGGUGUAGUUGUACCAUAAUUUUCUUUUUGAUAUGGAUGACUCAAUAGUCUUCAAAUGGAAUGAAAAAUAGAUGACUUUUAAACGGUGACCAAAAGAAUAAAUGAUUCUAAUUAUGAAAUGUAUUCAAUUAAAUGAUAUCAUAUAAGGAAUGAAGGCUUUUAAAAAAUUAUAUCAAAUUUAAGAGUUUUAAUUUAUUAUGAUGUUCCUAACUACAAAUUUAUUAGCAAAAUUAUCUUAUAUAAUGAAAGAAAUUAAACUCCAAAUAUUUAAAAAUAGAAAAAAUAGUGUAGCUUAAAAAUCCCAAAAUAGUUAGCCCGCACAUGCACUAUAUGAAAGAAACAUGGCUGGAAGAAAAAAAAAAUCAAAAACAACAAAUAUGACAAACUAAGGUGUCGAACCCGUGCACUACCACAUGAAGGAACCAACGCUUCCCAGCUUUUUUAUAUAUAGAAUAUUAAGAAGGAUUUUAGAAAUUGGGGGCCCCAGAAAAUCGGGAGCCCUGUACGAUCGCACUCCUCGCAUCCCCUCAAGGCCGGCCCUGCUGCAGUCCCAAAUGCGAUUUUCAUCCAUUCUGUACCCUGAAACGUCUUGUACAAACGAACAGAGGUAUAACCGGCGAAAAGUCCCACGAAAACAAAAAGCAAGAGCAUUGUGGUCAUAAGACCGCCCCGGUUAGAUGGGGAGAGGAAGCCAAGGACAGCAAAUAUCAUUGUCACCGGUAUCAUUCCAAACAAUUGAACACCAGUUCCAACAUAUACAUAGAGCAAUUCAGAGUUAUUUGGAGGCCUGAAGACAUCCCCGUGGACAAGUUUCCAUCCUGUUUCUUCUUGCGCUUCUCCUGGGUCUUAAGUUCAUUAUACUUGGAGAUAUCACGGUAGAGUGUUCUUAGCAUAAUCAUCGCUACCAUACCCGAAAGGAAGAGGACAAUAAUCAAUGAGUUGACAAUUGAAAACCAAUGGAUUUGGUCGUCACUUAUCCAGAUAUAAGCAUCCCAUCUAGAAGCCCACUUCACAUCACUCUC